GGCGGAGACCGGAGAUGUUUUCGAGCCCGGCCUCGGCGGCGUUCGCGGCGGUUGCGGCGGCGGUGGCGGAGAGCACGACAGCGACGGCGGAGCCGAGGCCUUCGUCCCGGGGGUAGACCCUCCCGCGCCGGCCGUGCCUGGGGUCUGUGCGGGCGAGGGGGGCGUGGCGACAGGCGAGGAGGAAGGAGGGGCGCGGUUUCGAGCCCCGGCCCCGGCGCCCGGGAGGAGCCCCUCAGUCGCGCCCGCUCCCGUCUCCUCCCCAGAGCGAGCCGUAGGGAACGCUUCAAGCGACGUAGCGGUCGAGAGUGUGAUGUCCACUAGACACCCGCGGCCAACCCGUGGACGCGGUGACGGGAUUCAGACCCCGGCAUCCCCAACGCUUCGGAAAAGCCUCUGGUCCUGAACUUGACCUGAACCUGUGUUCCCGGUCGUGUGUCCUUUUUUAUUUUAAAACGGUUUUAUGGAAGAAGGCGAACUGGUGAAAUAGCUAUUUUAAAAUAAAUUGACUGCUGAUUAAAAACAUAUGCUCGUGUAGGCUCUUAAAAAUCUUGGGCACUGAUCUGUUUCAGUUUCUUCAAUCGUUAUACAAAGGCUUUCCUGGAGAUUAGCUCAGAACUGGCAGAACAUAUGCUGUAUUGGUGCCAAGAGGCUUAAAAAACAAAAUGAGAUAGUGUCGACUGUGUAAGAUCAAGUCGUUAUAUUAACUAAGCUUGUUGGGGAAAGUCUUUAAUUUGGGCCAAACGCAAAAACCUGUAAACAUUCAAAAUGUUUCCUAGGCAAGAGGGGCAAGGUUUACUAAAAAAAUUUUUAUAGUUGACACAAGGACUAACAAUUUCUAAAGGUCUGCGAAUGGUUGAGUAAGUAAGGUCAAGAUUAACUAUUCAGGGUAUGUGUUCUAUUUUAAGGACAGGCAAGGUGUUAAAAUGAAGUAAAACCUAACUAAGUAGCAUUCAUGAAAGGAAAAGAGAAAGAGCCCUAUAAUGAUCUUACGCGUUCUGGUUUCCAUGGUUGUUAAGAUGGUUUUAUGAACAGGCAGAACUGGGAAAGUGGAAAUCCCUGGGUGUGUAUUCCAUGAAGACUGAGGAAGAGAAAAAAAUAUUGAGAUGAGGAAAGAACUUAAUAGGUGGAAGUAUGUUGUGCAGUCUUUGACUUUAGUUCUCUGAUACUGUGAAGGGGAGAAAAGCUUGAAUUUUGUUUGGCAAUAAGUACCUAACUGGUGGAAUGAAUUUAAAUGGAAGAUAUUUUUAUCAAAAUGCUUGUAUGUUACUUUUUUUUUUUCCCCAUAUAGAAGUUGGUGAAACAUGUACCUGAUAUCAAAGAAACAGUAGGGAUAUUUGGAAAACUCUUCAUUGGAAAAGAGGUUUUUAUUCUAGGGAAUAAAAAUAAUAUUGAAAAUUUUCAGUUUCUUGGUACUAGUUGACUAGUGGUUAAAUUUUCUUUAAACCAUUCUUAUAUAUUAAGAGCAUUGUUUCAAUCUAAAGAGAGAAUGAUUAGUGAUAUUUAAUUUCCAUUGUAGUCUGGAAAAGGUUUAGACAGCUUUCUGUAUAUAAACUUGAUGCUACUGAAGCAGCAUCUAUCAGAUGGGUGUGACGAAUUUAUCCAGUAAUUGCCAUACGUUGCUUAAUAGCUAAUGACACCACUUUCUGACUUGGAACUCAUUGCUAAAGCUGACAUCAACAUGUAUUUGUAAAAUGCUGGUACUCUUAAAGGGUAUGGUCUAGAGAUUUAUCCUUAGAACUGGAAAGGACUUCAAAUUUUCUAAUCUGUUUCCCUCAUUUUACAGAUGAAAAAAUAAAGGCCUGAUAAGGGGAAAUGACUUCCCCAACUCAGCACAGCUAAUUAAAUGUCUGUGGUUUGGCCUAGAGAUUUCUUUUUGUGAAGGUGCUAAUUUACUUCUUUCUUUUAAGAAGUAGCUUUAUGGAAUAGUGGAAAGAACAGGGGAAAUAUAAAUGAGAGGANNNNNNNNNNNNNNNNNNNNNNNNNNNNNNNNNNNNNNNNNNNNNNNNNNNNNNNNNNNNNNNNNNNNNNNNNNNNNNNNNNNNNNNNNNNNNNNNNNNUGGAAUAGUGGAAAGAACAGGGGAAAUAUAAAUGAGAGGACUGGGGUUUAAAUUCUUGAUUUGUCACUUCCUAACUGUGGUUUUUGACAAAUCAUAUUAAUUUUCAGAGCCUUGCAUUUGUAAUCUGCAAACAAAACAUUUUGUUAUAUAAUUUACAGCAUUUUUGAUGGCCCAAUAUGAUUAUGUAUGGAAAGCACAUUAUAUUCUAUAAGCCUUUAUACAUAUAAAAAGUGAUAUUUUUAGAAAAAAUAAGUUUCCUACUGUAUUAUCUAAGGUGUCUACAUCCCUAGGUUUUUGCUUAGUCUUACCUUCAUUGUUUUGAGCACCUGCUGUUUUACAGAUUAUAACUCCCUGUAGAUACAUUUUCUGAUCCCUGCUUAGUUCUAAUCUUAGUAAAGCCUCUUAUGAACAUUUUAAAUAUUGUGGUGGUUAAGAGUCUGACUUCCUCUGGAGAAUAUGAAGUUUCUUCAUAUAGCAUUUGAAUACAUUCUCAUAUACACUCAUGCAUGCACAGUCUGUUUCUUUAACAGACAGUGACUUUUAAAAAGUAACAGUUAAAGUAUCUUAGUAACAAUGUUAAUUUGUUGCUAGUUUUGAGAUAUACAGCAACAGGAGAUGUAAUUUCCUUUGUAAACUCAACUUUUGAGUAGUUCAUGUUAAGGUUAUCUUGUAGAUCUAAAAUAAAAUAUACACUGUAGGAAUGUUAAGACUAAGUGUUGACUUCUGCUGUUAGGUUUAGAGACCUUUCUUUUUAGUGCUUUACAUUGAUAAUACUGGGAGUCAGUACAUGAGUACUGUAGUGUAGUGGUGGUACACGGAUUAUUUGUAACUUUGAAGCUAAAGGUUAUGAUAAACAUUGUUGAGCACUUAGAAUCUUGAGUUUUUAAGUGAACUAUUUCAGAUAAUUUUCGUAAUAACCCCGUAAAACAGACACUAUGGCUGAGAAAAAUGAGGCUUUGAACUGUUAUGUGGUGUGCAGAUAUUCACAGACCCAAAAAAGUGACAGCUCUGCUGUCCUCAUUCUUAACUAUUUCUCUGUUCUACCUCUAAUUAAGAGUGCUUCUCUGAUUUUGAGAAGUUUUAAGGCACUGUUUAAGUUUCCGACUUUGUGAAAAAUUUGUGGGGCCAGCAUUCUACCUUCUACUGUGUUGGUUAAAAAAAACAAAGCGUUGUGGAAGAUAGGCCAGCAAGCCUUUUCGUGAGAUGUUGAUAUCGUUGUUCGUGUUUGUUUGUUUGUUUGUUUUUUACAUUAGUUGUCAGAAGCAAAUUAGUCUUACCAGCUACCGAAGGACUACAGUUGUUAACAGCUUUUUAAGAACUGUUUUAACAGACUCCACCUUGAUAUUAAUGUUCAUUGUUAAAAGGGAAUAUACUUUUUUUUAAGCUUUUUAUUUUGUAUUGGGGGUAUAGCUGAUUAACAAUGUUGUGAUAGUUUCAGGUGAACCAGGACUCAGCCAUUCGUAUACAUGUACCCAUUCUCCCUCAAACUCCCCUCCCAUCCAGGCUGUCACAUAGCAUUUGAAUAGCAUUCCAGCAUUGAGCAGCAGUAGGUUCUCGUUGGUUAUCCAUUUUAAAUAUAGCAGUAUAUACAUGUCCAUCCCAAACUCCGUAACUGUCCUUUCCUCCCAGCAGCCAUAAGUUCGUGCUCUGUUUCGCAAGUUCGUUUGCGUCAUUUCUUUUUAGAUUCCACAUAUAAGGGCUGUCAUGUGGUACUCCUCCUCCUUUGUCUGACUUACUUCAAUAUGACACUCUCUAGGUCCAUCCAUGUUCCUGCAAAUGGCGUUAUUUCAUUCUUUUUACUCAUUAUUAGUAAUAUUUCAUUGAAUAUAUGUAUCAUGGCUUCUUCAUCCAUUCCUAAACAUCAAUGGGCGUUUAGGUUGCUUCCAUGUCUUGACUUUGUAAACAGUGUUGCAAAUGAAUAUUGAGGUGCAUAUAUCCUUUCAGAUCAUAAAGAAACUUACUUAAAACAAAGUGAGUGAAGGAGAAAGAUAACUAACCAGACUCAUUUAGGUCUUUUAUAAAGGAAUAGAGUCAGGAAGAGUAAAUAGGAGUUUGUCUAGGUUAGAGGUAGAACCCUCCACAGAAAUACUUCCAAGUUGAG
ensembl:lncRNA